UACUUCUAAGUUUGAGUUCAAAAACAACCUAUUCUAUUUCAAAGGUCAAUUAUAUGUUCUAAAAGAAAAAACAUGAUUAUGUAUUCUUCAAGCAUGUCAUGACUUUCUAGUAGCAGAACAUUUUGAAUACAACAAGACUUUGGAACUUAAAUCUAAAGAUUUUUGGUGGCCUCAAAUGUAGAAGGGUGUGAAAGACUUUGUUCAAUCAUGUGAUAUUUUUUCAAGAUCAAAAACUCU
rnacentral:lncRNA from 1 species